ensembl:lncRNA
AUUCUAUAGAACAGGUUUGUGCAGCACUUAGUGGGAGAGUGGAGCUCAUACUCAGUGCAUCAGGCAGCACUAGUGGGCGGCUUCAGCCCCAUUUCUCCAGCUGUUUUCAAAUCCACACUUAGUCACUUCUCUUACACAGCUUCUCAUAUUGAUAGGCUUUAUCUUUAGAUAGUGAUGAAUACUGAGGAAAAAGGCUUGUGUUACUGAUCUCAGCCUCCUUCACAUUUGAAGGAGAAAUAUAUAUUAAAUGUGAGGUCGGGGGAUUUUCUUUAAUGAAUUGUUGUGUGCUUUUGAGUCUUGUCUUGGCAAUCUUUUAAAGAAAAACUGCACUUGGGUCUUUAUCUGGUACUUUCCUUUUCUUUUUACUUGUAUCACAAGGUGUUUCUCAGUUAUUUACGCACCCCCAUGUCUUUCUAAAGGAGCGUAGUGUAUCUAGAUGAGAGCUGCUAUCUUUGUGCAAGAUUUCAUACUUUAAUAUCACGGACGUGAGCAGAUUCCAUCCUGGUGAUAAAAUCACUUUCUGCCUACAGCUGUCUGUUCACUCCUCCUGAAGGCUGAAGUUAGCCACUCCUGACAUGGUCAGCAAUAGUAUAAAAUUGCUUUCACAUCUCUUUAAAAAAAAAAUAUGGCCUAAUAAUAGAAUUCCAGUUUAAUUUUGCUUACUACUUGAAAUUAUAAACUGGGAUUUCUUCAGCUGCUUGGCCAUCAUUGCCAUUGAGUAACACAUUUCAAGGGAGGGAUGGAAAAUAGACUGCAUUUCUCACUGCUUCACUUCAUGUUUAAUAUGCACGUGUUUGUAAGUUAACACUCACAAAGGCGCAGUUCAGAUUGAUGUAGAAUUGGCUCUUCCCAUUGGCUCAGUGUGACUGCUUAUGGGGUUAUGUGGUGAGCUGCCCCCAGGAGCUGGUCCAGCUGAGUAACUUGAUUUGAAGGGUUGUUGGAAAGGACCAAACUACAGUGGCCUGAACUUAAUCACUAAGUCAAAAAAAUGUCAAAUGAAGGGGAGUUGGAUAGCAGUUGAAAUUGCAGUAUGUGAACACUACUUUGUCAGUACGUAGUUUAGAAAAAAAAAAAAAAAGUGGGAGCUUAUAUUAAAAAAAAUCUUCAGCUUAUAUGAUUUCAGUGGUUAUGAAUCUUGUUUACAAACAGUAGAGAAGUACACACUACUGAAGAAAAGGUCUUUCUUUUUUUCUUGCACUAAACAUGUAUGAAUUGACCUGAAAUCAGCAACUUGGUGUAGUACCUUUUUUUUAACCUUGAGUUGGAAGCCCUAAUUGAGAGUAUUUCUUUACAAUGCCUGGUAACAUGCUCAAAUUUCUCUCUUCUCCCCAGCUUACUGUUUGAGAAUAUGAAAUAAAACUGGCUGAGCCCUGAUUCUUUCUGAUCAGUUUUCUUUUGUAGUUUUAAUUCCUCAGGGUUAAAUGUUAUUCUUUUUCUAAGCUUUAUGUCAAAUGUAUUGCUAAUGUCCAUCACCUGUAAUGUCAUCUUAUGAUCUUUACAGUAAUUAAGUUCAACACGUGUAUUUACAACAGGAAGCCUUUCCUUUGUAAUAUGAUGGAGUAUUGUUGCACUGGUAACUGCUGUUCUAUAAAGUUACUCUUGAAUUCCAACGUAUUAAUUCAAUGUUCAGAUAUCAGUGGAUCCUGAAUAGAGAAAGUAAUAGGUAAUUAUUGGUUGUUUUGCACAUAAACAUAGGGUGAAAAGGUUUUGUUGUUACAGAUUCAUUACAAGCAUGUUUCUUAUGUUCUUUGCUAUGCAAUUCACUGUAACCAUCUGCUGUCUUCACUGGGACUU